GCCAACGUGGCGUAGUGGUUUGAGUGUUGGACUGUGAUUCUGAAGACCAGGGUUCAAUUUGCAGCUUGGUCA